UACGUAGGGGGCAAGCGUUGUCCGGAAUCAUUGGGCGUAAAGGGUGCGUAGGCGGCGCGGUAAGUCGGAUGUGAAAUCUCGGGGCUUAACUCCGAAACUGCAUUCGAUACUGCCGUGCUUGAGGACUGGAGAGGAGACUGGAAUUACGGUGUAGCGGUGAAAUGCGUAGAUAUCGUAAGGAAGACCAGUGGCGAAGGCGGGUCUCUGGACAGUUCCUGACGCUGAGGCACGAAGGCCAGGGAGCAAACGGG
rnacentral:rRNA from 1 species